CACGUAGGCACCAAGCGUUGUCCGGAUUUAUUGGGCGUAAAGAGCUCGUAGGCGGUUCGGUAAGUCGGGUGUGAAAACUCUGGGCUCAACCCAGAGCCGCCACCCGAUACUGCUGUGACUCGAGUGCGGUAGGGGAGCGGGGAAUUCCUGGUGUAGCGGUGGAAUGCGCAGAUAUCAGGAGGAACACCGAUGGCGAAGGCAGGUCUCUGGGCCACUACUGACGCUGAGAAGCGAAAGCAUGGGGAGCGAACAGG
rnacentral:rRNA from 1 species